AAAGCCCUGUACACAACGUGUCACUGGUAUCUCUCUCAUGCCAAGUCUUUUUUCCUCCCAGGUAUGAACACCAUGGAUAAUCUUGCUGAUGACGUCACUCUGGGCACCCUGGGUCUGGACUCUCUAAUGGGCGUGGAGAUGAAGCAACUCCUGGAGAAGGACUUUGACGUGCAAGUCACCCUGGUGGAGGUGCGCAAGAUGACCGUGGCCAGGCUCAAGGAAAUCGAGACAGCCAAUGCAGAGGAAUGAAAUUGCGGCAGGACACGAUGCCGACCGAGUUAACAAGGCUUUUGUGAUGUCAUCACCUCUCAUGCGUCGAUACCCCGCGCCGUCUAAUCAGAAUUCGUAGAAACAUUUUCAUGAUUAAUUCUAUAACUUUAGUAGAUUCAGAUACUCAUGUGUCUGUAUAAUAAAAGAUGAACAGCAUUACUACAAUAAAGAUUUAAUAUCAUUACUUUACUCUCAACUCUCAGUGGCUUUAACUUCAGCAUUGUUCUUCUCCAAAACUUUUCUUUCAGGAGGGUUUCGAUUUGUAUUUAUCCACAAAUGGGAAAGAGAGACUAAAGUGACAGUCCUUGGGAAAGCUUUAAACUGCUCUUUUACUAUUUCAUUUUUGUUGUUGCUGUAGUCGCUUUCUCUUAACGGUUGUAUAACCUGUCAUGUGAGCUUAUCGGAUGUUCACGGAAUGUUGUCUGUGAGCUGUGACACGCGCUACAAGGUCGUGUUUAUUCAUACAAAUAGAAAAAUGAUACUGAUGAAUUUGGACGCCAGAAGUGUGGGGAAAGUUGUUUUGUUUAUCGGGGUUUUUGUUGCUGUUGUUGUUGUUUUGGGUUUUUUUGGGUGGGAAACUUUACCACGAGAAAUAAACCUGUUAACUCAACAGGCCUGGGUGGAUUUGGAGGUUAUAUAACUCAGCGGAAAAGUGAAUGAGGAAGGGUAGAUCAGAGAAUUGGUUCAGAAGAUCAUGUAAGAAAAGACAUACGCUUAAUUUUCUUUCAAAAGACUUGCUGGCAGUGAUUGGGAAUGAAUAGAAGUGGGCACAGAAGUGACAUUAUAAUGAACAUCGGUUCAACCACAAGAUUACUGUCCUGUAUGUCCUUUGUACAGAGUUGAGAGGUUCUGUUGGGGGAUUUCUGUCUCUACGUCACACUGUCACAUAAUAAGUGAAAGCUUCCGGCCGUUUCUCUUUUUCUUCUUCUGUCGAGUACGUUAAAAAAUAAACUAGGCAUGGUUUCAGCUCAAGACAACAGUAUUUUAUUCUUAAAAUUCUUGUAAGGCAUACUUUAUAUAUUACUGAAUUGCUUGCAGUAGAGUUCCUUUCGUAUAACUUCACCUCAAGUGCUAAAUAUAGAAUAUUCUUUUUUUUCUUACAUAAUUAUAAAAUAUUUUGACUCCAGUAGACUUCCCACCAGAAAAGUAGAGAAAGCAGUAUUGUUCAAUGAUCCGUAAUAUUUUGCGUGAAAAUAAAGAAUUAAUGGAA